GCAACCCCAGGCGUAGGCGCAGUACUACAAUCCGUGGGCAGGCUACGUUCAGUUCUGGUAGUGCCCACCGAACGCCUCCGGGACACCGUUCCGUCCUCCACGGUCGGCCUUCACCGCCCAGCAGCAGUACGUGCCGCAGCCAUACACCACUGUCCAGCAGCAGUACGUGCAGCAGCCGUACACCCUUGGGCCUCCUCCAGGUUUCGGCCACGGAGGACCGCCGCCACCACAACAGCAACAGCAACCGUCCAUGCCCAUGCAGGGUAUGUCCUCGGAUCCGACCGCCCUCGGGCGAAUGGUAUGCUGACUCUGGUGCCGGUGCUCACAUGGUCAACAACGCUGGACCUUCAGACACGGAGCGUGAUCGCUAGGUGCAAUAGCACGGGUGACCUCUACCCGUUCUUCCCUGCACCAUCCAGCACCACUGCCACCCUCACCACUGCCACGUCGUCCACCUCCCUUUGGCAUCGUCGCCUUGGUCAUCUCGGACACACGGCUUUAUCCAAGCUUAUUAGUUCAAAUGCUAUUUCCUGUAAUAAUAAGCACAAUAUCGAUCAUGUUUGUCAUGCCUGUCAGCUAGGUCGCCAUGUGCGCCUACCCUUUAGUGUGUCAUACUCGCGUGCUACUCAUCCAUUUGAUUUAAUACAUUGUGAUCUUUGGACGUCCCCA